UACGUAGGGUGCAAGCGUUGUCCGGAUUUAUUGGGCGUAAAGAGCUCGUAGGCGGUUUGUCGCGUCGGAUGUGAAAACCCAGGGCUCAAUCCUGGGCCUGCAUUCGAUACGGGCAGACUAGAGUAUGGCAGGGGAGACUGGAAUUCCUGGUGUAGCGGUGAAAUGCGCAGAUAUCAGGAGGAACACCGGUGGCGAAGGCGGGUCUCUGGGCCGUAACUGACGCUGAGGAGCGAAAGCGUGGGGAGCGAACAGG
rnacentral:rRNA from 1 species